GACGAACGCUGGCGGUGUGCUUCACACAUGCAAGUCGAACGAGGUAGCAAUACCUAGUGGCGGACGGGUGAGUAACGCGUGGGAAUCUGCCUUUAGAUGGGGGAUAACGGGUCGAAAGACUCGCUAAUACCGCAUAUGACGAAAGUUGAAAGGAGUAAUCCGUCUAAAGAUGAGCCCGCGUCCGAUUAGCUAGUUGGUAGAGUAAAAGCCUACCAAGGCGACGAUCGGUAGCUGGUCUGAGAGGAUGAUCAGCCACAAAUGGGACUGAGACACGGCCCAUACUCCUACGGGAGGCAGCAGUGGGAAUUUACGCAAUGGGCGAAAGCCUGACGUAGCGACACCGCGUGAGCGAAGAAGCCCCUUGGGGUGUAAAGCUCUGUCAGCUGGAACGAAAAAAAUGACGGUACCAGCAGAGGAAGCAUCGGCUAACUACGUGCCAGCAGCCGCGGU
rnacentral:rRNA from 1 species